GGCCGACUAGCUCAGUUGGUUAGAGCGUGGUGCUAAUAGCGCGCCCUGCGCAUGUUACGCCAAGGUCGUCGGUUCGACCCCGGCGUUGGCCA